rnacentral:rRNA from 1 species
AGAGUUGAUCCUGGCUCAGAACGAACGCUGGUGGCGUGUCUUAUACAUGCAAGUCGAGCGAGGCAGCGAUGCCGAGCGGCGAACGGGUGAGUAACGCGUAAGCAAUCUGCCCCAUAUCAGGAAAUACCCGUGCCAACGCGCGGUUAAUGUCCAGGAGAGUGGCCCUCUGCAUGGAGGGUUGACUAGAGAUUUAUCGGUAUGGGAUGAGCUUGCGUCCGAUUAGCUAGUUGGCGGGGCAACGGCCCACCAAGGCGACGAUCGGUAGCCGGCCUGAGAGGGUGAUCGGCCACAUUGGGACUGAGAUACGGCCCAGACUCCUACGGGAGGCAGCAGUAGGGAAUAUUGCACAAUGGGGGAAACCCUGAUGCAGCAACGCCACGUGUGGGAAGAAGCAUUUCGGUGUGUAAACCACUGUCAUGAGGGAAUAAGGCCCGCCUUCGGACGGGAUUGAAUGUACCUUGAGAGGAAGCACCGGCAAACUUCGUGCCAGCCGCCGC